GACGAACGCUGGCGGCGUGCUUAACACAUGCAAGUCGAACGGAAAGGCCCUGCUUUUGUGGGGUGCUCGAGUGGCGAACGGGUGAGUAACACGUGAGUAACCUGCCCUUGACUUUGGGAUAACUUCAGGAAACUGGGGCUAAUACCGGAUAGGAGCUCCUGCUGCAUGGUGGGGGUUGGAAAGUUUCGGCGGUUGGGGAUGGACUCGCGGCUUAUCAGCUUGGUGGUGGGGUAGUGGCUUACCAAGGAUGUGACGGGUAGCCGGCCUGAGAGGGUGACCGGCCCCAUCGGGACUGGGAAACGCACCAGACUCCUCCGGGAGGCAGCAGUGGGGAAUCUUGCACGAUGAGCGGAGGCCUGAUGCAGCAACGCCGCGUGCGGGAUGACGGCGUUCGGGUAGUAGGCCGCUUUCGGCUGUGACGAAGCGUGAGGGACGGUAAUGGGUAGAUAAGGAACGGCUAACUACGUG
rnacentral:rRNA from 1 species